rnacentral:rRNA from 1 species
GACGAACCGAGCGACCGUUGUUCGGAAUCACUGGGCUUAAAGGGCGCGUAGGCGGGUGUUCAAGUCCGUGGUGAAAUCCUCCGGCUCAACCGGAGAACUGCCUCGGAUACUGAAUGUCUCGAGGGUGGUAGGGGUAUGCGGAACUAUCGGUGGAGCGGUGAAAUGCGUUGAUAUCGAUAGGAACUCCGGUGGCGAAGGCGGCAUACUGGACCACUUCUGACGCUGAGGCGCGAAAGCCAGGGGAGCAAACGGG